GACGCAGUUUCCUCACCCUUCUCCCUUUCUCUGGUCGGCGCCGCCACCCCUCUCCUCGCCGCGCCGCAAGCUGCACUCAUCGGGCGCGGCACCGACGGGGACGGCCGACGCUGCUUUCCCUCACCACAGCAAAGACGUCUCCCCUGGUUUCUCACCGAAUGACAUGAGUAGAGCCCUGCGGUCGCAAGAAUGGACAAGGAAAAGGGGAAGAAGAGGAGCUUGGUUUCCAUUAUGAAGACUAAGCCGCUGUCCUGGCCUUCCAGGAAGCAAAAGGGGAAGCAAAAGGGGAAGGGCUACUGCAUCACUGCCGAGGAAGCGGGCAAAACAUUACAGCAAUGUCCCGCUCGCUGAGUUGAUGUUUAGGGCAAUGAAGCAUGAUAAGCAAGCGGAGGAGGAUGAUGAAGAAGAGGACAAGGAUGAUCAAGAUACUCUGUUUGAGGAGGAAGAUUCUCAUUUUGAUGUCAAACCGCUAAGUGUUAUGCUGUACAAAAUUGCAUUGUUUGGCUGUCAACGUUCAAUAUAUUUGCUGUAUAAAGUUCAAAGGAGGUAUUGUCCAAAAUUAAAAAGCAAUGCUGCCCAAUUCUUUAUUUGACAUAUUUGUUCCAUUUCCUCUACACUUUUCAUAGAAGAAAGCUUAUAUUUCGUCACUAUGCCUAUUUUUAAAACCAUAGACUACUAGAUGUUGCAUUAUUAGCAAUAUAGACUGAUGUCAAUAUUUGUUUGGCUGUCAACGUCCACUAUGACCAUUUUUUAAACAAUUUCCUCUACAUUUUCUCAUUUUAUAUGUCAAAGUGGUAAGUAUUAUGCUAUGCAAAAUUUAUUUGUUUGGCUAUCAAUAUUUGAUGUUUUGCUGUGUAAAGUUCAAAAGGAAGUGUUGUCCAAAAUUCAAUACAAAU
rnacentral:rRNA from 1 species